GAUGAACGAUGACAGAAUGCUUAACACAUGCAAGUCAACUGUGGCGGACGGGAGAGUAACGAGUAAAGAAAUUGCCUCACAGAUAGGGAAAACAUUUGGAAACGAAUGAUAAUACCUGAUACUGUGAGAGAGCUUUGCGUCCCAUUAGCUAGUUGGAGAGGUAACGGCUCACCAAGGCGAUGAUGGGUAGCCGGCCUGAGAGGGUGAUCGGCCACAAGGUGACUGAGACACGGCCCUUACUCCUACGUGAGGCAGCAGUGGGGAAUAUUGGACAAUGGACCAAAGUCUGAUCCAGCAAUUCUGUGUGCACGAUGAAGUUGUCGGAAUGUAAAGUGCUUUCAGUUGGGAAGCGGUACCAACAGAAGAAGUGACGGCUAAAUACGUGCCAGCAGCCGCGGUAAUAC
rnacentral:rRNA from 1 species